rnacentral:rRNA from 1 species
UGGGGAAUAUUGGACAAUGGGCGAAAGCCUGAUCCAGCCAUGCCGCGAGUGUGAAGAAGGCCUUUUGGUUGUAAAGCACUUUAAUCGAGGAGGAGGCUACUUGGAUUAAUACUUUAGGAUAGUGGACGUUACUCGCAGAAUAAGCACCGGCUAACUCUGUGCCAGCAGCCGCGGUAAUACAGAGGGUGCGAGCGUUAAUCGGAUUUACUGGGCGUAAAGCGUGUGUAGGCGGCUUUUUAAGUCGGAUGUGAAAUCCCUGAGCUUAACUUAGGAAUUGCGUUCGAUACUGGGAAGCUAGAGUAUGGGAGAAGAUGGAAGAAUUCCAGGUGUAGCGGAGAAAUGCGUUGAGAUCUAGAGGAAUGCCGAUGGCGAAGGCAGCCAUCUGGCAUAAUGCUAACGCGGAGGUACGAAAGCAUGGGGAGCAAACAGG